UACGAAGGGGGCUAGCGUUGUUCGGAUUUACUGGGCGUAAAGGGCGCGUAGGCGGUCGUGACAAGUCACUUGUGAAAUCUCCGGGCUUAACUCGGAACGGUCAAGUGAUACUGUCGGACUAGAGUACAGAAGGGGCAACUGGAAUUCUCGGUGUAGCGGUGAAAUGCGUAGAUAUCGAGAGGAACACCUGCGGCGAAGGCGGGUUGCUGGGCUGACACUGACGCUGAGGCGCGAAAGCUAGGGGAGCGAACGGG
rnacentral:rRNA from 1 species